GGUCCUAGGCUGAGGGUUAAACAGGUCCUAGGCUGAGGGUUAAACAGGUCCUAGGCUGAGGGUUAAACAGGUCCUAGGCUGAGGGUUAAACAGGUCCUAGGCUGAGGGUUAAACAGGUCCUAGGCUGAGGGUUAAACAGGUCCUAGGCUGAGGGUUAAACAGGUCCUAGGCUGAGGGUUAAACAGGUCCUAGGCUGAGGGUUAAACAGGUCCUAGGCUGAGGGUUAAAAUGGGUGCUCACACACAAAUUCCUGUCAUUUAUGGUACAAUGGCACCCCUACUGGCUACUGAGAACACAGCACUCACAUUACACCCAGAUGAGGAGCCAUGGUCACCAUGACAGAGGGAAAACACACACACAAACACAGUGAAAGACAGCGAUGGAUACACACUCUCUUCCUCUCAUUGGGGCUCAGAUGUGAUGGCAGUAGAUGGAGAGCGACGGAGCAAAAGACACAAGCAGACAGAGUAAAGAGAGGAUGGAACCCAUUACCCAUACUGAUAUGCACACAAACACUAGGCUUGGGCGGUAUACAGAUUUAUAUACAGUCAUACCGUUCUUCUGCCAUCCCGGGAUUUAUGGUAUUACUGGCAGAGCACACAAGAGGGUGCUAAAAACGCAACAACAAAAAAGCCCAUUGGGCCCCUUAUAAACAUGUUAACAAAAUCACACAGACGCUGUUAGCUAAAUGUUAACGAGCGAAAAUGAACAUACCCUAAUUGCAAAGACAGGCAGAUCCUGCUCAUAAAGUUAGUUAUAUAAGCAUAGCUAGCAGCUACCGAAUGUCAUUUUCGGUGAGUGUGGACAUUUACAAGUGAAAGUGAACGAGAGAAAUUGUGCAAAUGAACAAAGUUGUGAUUAGGGAUGGGUACCGAAACCCGGCAUUAAACGGGCCCCGGGUCUAAAUUAUGAAAGACCGUAGUAUCGAUAAGCUCUGACGUUAUGGGUUCUGCUUUCGGUACUGGAGAAAUUAAGAAAAUACAUUUCCUAUUUAUUAUUGCUACAUAAACGUUAUCGUGCACAUUUUAGCUCACCAACCAUUUCUAAUUUGCAGUAAGAUUAAGACAUUCAUCUAUGAUGCAUUUUCACUAUUCCCAAUCCAGAAGAGAGAUCUUUGUCACGUCACACACACACACACACACACACACACACACACACACACACACACACACACGAAAGACCCUGCUCUUAACUAGUGACCAUGGCGGAGAGAACUAAAUGUUCAGUAGUGUGGUUACGCUUCACCAGAGUCGAUGCUGACAGCGCUCGUUGCCACAAGUGCAACAAGACUUUUGCUUGUAAGGGCUGGAAACACGAGCAAUCUGUCCAAACCUCUAUGGAAAGUGCAUCUUGUACAGGCAGAGAAACAGUUUGACUGGCUAGCUCGUAGUUCAUCUCUCGCUGCCUGAUCUCCGUUAGGUAUGUAUGCUAGCAGCCUAGAGCACACACACACAGUUAACUAGAUUAUGAGAACAUGGGUCCAUGAUGAAAAGUAACCAACCAGAAAUUCAAAUCACACAUUUAAAGAUUUUGAAACUUUUUUGUUAAAGUUGCAGCUACAAUGAACCAACCCACUCCUCCCUCUAACACAGCUGGUCCAAGCCAAAGACAAGCCCAAAGCCCCUUCACGCUGGCAGCUAGUGGGAGGAUGACUGAGGAGAGGGUGAAUGAGUGACACCUAGCUGUGGCUAAGUUCAUAGUGAAAUACCUUCACCCCUUUGCAACAGUGGAGUCCAAGGGCUUUAGGCAACAGUCUGUCAGUAUAUAUUGAGUUGGAUUCAUGUUUAGGAUAUAGUAGUAUAAAAGGGUUGUAUGUUAGUCUCAUCACUCCACAAUACACAACAACACAAUAAGGAUAAUUCAACACAAGAAAACUCUUUUUUUUCCCCUGUAGGGAGAUGAGCAAGGCCCUCAACCCCAAAUAUACCCCUCCCUCCAGGAGUUACCUCAGUGACACAUUCAUUCCUACCUGGUGUGGGUUGGCAAUAGCCAAUGUGAUCACUGAGCUGAAGGACGUGCCAAAGUUGGCCAUCUCAUCAGACGGGUGGACCAGCCUCUGUCAGGACCACUAUCUCACUGUCACAGUGCACUACACAAGCCAGGGCAGUGUAAAACAGAAAGGUCCUCCACACCAGGGCAGUGUGAAACAGAAGGUCCUCCACACCAGGACAGUGUAAAACAGAAGGUCCUCCACACCAGGACAGUGUAAAACAGAAGGUCCUCCACACCAGGACAGUGUAAAACAGAAGGUCCUCCACACCAGGACAGUGUAAAACACAAGGUCCUCCACACCAGGACAGUGUAAAACAGAAGGUCCUCCACACCAGGACAGUGUAAAACAGAAGGUCCUCCACACCAGGACAGUGUAAAACAGAAGGUCCUCCACACCAGGACAGUGUAAAACAGAAGGUCCUCCACACCAGGACAGUGUAAAACAGAAGGUCCUCCACACCAGGACAGUGUAAAACAGAAGGUCCUCCACACCAGGACAGUGUAAAACAGAAGGUCCUCCACACCAGGACAGUGUAAAAGAGAAGAUCCUCCACACCAGGACAGUGUAAAACAGAAGGUCCUCCACACCAGGACAGUGUAAAACAGAAGGUCCUCCACACCAGGACAGUGUAAAACAGAAGGUCCUCCACACCAGGACAGUGUAAAACAGAAGGUCCUCCACACCAGGACAGUGUAAAACAGAAGGUCCUCCACACCAGGACAGUGUAAAACACAAGGUCCUCCACACCAGGACAGUGUAAAACAGAAGGUCCUCCACACCAGGACAGUGUAAAACAGAAGGUCCUCCACACCAGGACAGUGUAAAACAGAAGGUCCUCCACACCAGGACAGUGUAAAACAGAAGGUCCUCCACACCAGGACAGUGUAAAACAGAAGGUCCUCCACACCAGGACAGUGUAAAACAGAAGGUCCUCCACACCAGGACAGUGUAAAACAGAAGGUCCUCCACACCAGGACAGUGUAAAACAGAAGGUCCUCCACACCAGGACAGUGUAAAACAGAAGGUCCUCCACACCAGGACAGUGUAAAACACAAGGUCCUCCACACCAGGACAGUGUAAAACACAAGUUCCUCCACACCAGGACAGUGUAAAACACAAGGUCCUCCACACCAGGACAGUGUAAAACAGAAGGUCCUCCACACCAGGACAGUGUAAAACAGAAGGUCCUCCACACCAGGACAGUGUAAAACAGAAGGUCCUCCACACCAGGACAGUGUAAAACACAAGUUCCUCCACACCAGGACAGUGUAAAACAGAAAGUCCUCCACACCAGGACAGUGUAAAACAGAAGGUCCUCCACACCAGGACAGUGUAAAACAGAAGGUCCUCCACAC
rnacentral:lncRNA from 8 species